rnacentral:lncRNA from 1 species
GCCCCGGAGGCCGAGCUUCCCACCUCAUGACUAUUCAGCGAGGCGUGGCCACGUCCCUCUGCGCGCUCCGCGGCGGCCGGGGAGAAGUGCGCGGAACCGGUCGGAACCAUCUGUGGUCUAGGCAGGGGAUGAGGAAUGUACCAUCUGAGGCCCAGGCCGCGCAGGGCGUCAGGCGCAGACUAUCCGCGCGCGGUUAGACGCUCUUUGGGUGCAGACUCCCGCCCUUCCCGCCGCCUUGUUGCCGGAGUUCUGCCGCCCAGGUGGGUGCGGGCUAGGGCAGUGCCGGGGAUGCAAAUGUGCACAACAGUCUUUGGCGGCGGGUGUGCCCCAAGCCCGGGUCUCUGCCCAUGGACCUAAUCCCGUGCGCCCUCUCUCCCCUUGGUAUGAGGACUCCACCCCAAGGCGCGCCCCAAGCGUGAAGUUCACUUGUGACUGUGGGCUGCCUUUUAGUCCGCCUGGUCCCCCUGGAGUGCACCCUCCUGCCCAGGUGACCCCAGCUCCAGGAAAUGUCAGCCUAAGGAGGGUUGGACAUUGUCUCCAUUUCAUGCUGCACUUAAGAAAAUCGUCCUAAUCAGAUCAUCUGUCGCAGUAUACCCACGAGUCCCACCCGUGGUUUCACUCAAAGAUGUAGGAACAGCGCUCAAGGAAACGCGUGGUUGGUCUGACAGGUCACACGCAGUUGCUGACAUUCACUUAUGCAGUGGCUUACCCCGUGAGGUCAGGGCUCUGAGUCCACACACAGCUUGAAGGAGGGCAGCUUUGCUGACCCCAAGCUCCCCCAGGAGGAAACCAGACCUAGGGCCAGAACUCAGGGCUGGAGGGUAGUUGGGGUGGAAAGGCUUCCAGCAGGCACUAGGGGGAGGCCAGUGUAUUUUUGCCUUGGCAGAAUUACAAGGGGACACAGAAAGUUCGGUAAUGAAGACCACUACAAAAUUUGCAGGGCCUAGUGCAGAAUGGAAGUGUAAGGUCUUAAAAAAUUAUCAAGAAUUUCCUGGGCAACACCAGCAGAAAGUGAAGCAAGACUGGGUCUUCUAAGCAGGCCCUGAAAUUGAUACUGGUUCACACCCAUGAAGGGCCCCCCCCCCCCCCCCCCCCCCCCCCCCCCCCCCCCCCCCCCCCCCCCCCCCCCCCCCCCCCCCCCCCGGCCUUCCUACCCUCACCUAGACUGGGCCUCUGUCUGAAGCUUUCAUUUGGUCCCAUCCAGUCUGAGAGGCAACAGGAGUCACCUGGCACCCCCUAGUACAAGCUGCUGUCCCAAAGUCCAGAAGCAGCUGAGAGGCCUGCCCACCUUCCAACCGGUCUCAGCAGCUGAGCCUUCUUUGUCUGUCCCACUGUUCCUUUCCUGCUGGGAUCUGCCACCAAUUCAUCUCCAUCUCUUAUCACCUCCAAAGAGGGCCCACACAUCAGGGGCCUUGAGACUCAUACAUUAGGAGACCUUCCUUAAGGAAAAGAAUCUGAAUUUAUGUAUGUUUCCCAAAGAUUUGUUACUAUUUUCAGAAAGAUAUUGUUUAGGUAUAUAAAAUUAAAAAUCACAUAUACAGUUAUUCUUUAUAGAAACACAACACUGGGACACUUGUACUGCCAGGGACACUGGGUAAAACUUGUAAUGUUAAAAGAACACUGGAAUUUAAAUAUGCAAUCUGCUUUUCUCUUUUUCACUUGGACAUGAACUUAUUUAGAAAACCAACACCCUUACUCAUUGCUUUCCUUAAAAUUCAUCUAUCAUUCUCAUUAAUAGGGCAUUUUAAUCCUUGGAGUGUUGAUGGCUGCAGCAUAUAUAAACCCCAUUGGGGAAACAGGGAAGGGGAGGGCCAGAUGGUCACAGGCACUGAGCAUGGACUGUGCUCCUUGGAGCAGCAAGGAAAAGGUAUGGUAGCUGCAGGGCAGGCUGGUGGAGCAGCACUUGGUGGAAAGCCACAGGAAUGGCAGAACUCUGCCAAAACAGAGAAGCUGAGAAGCCAGAAGGAGAGAGCUCCUGGGCACACACCAGCAGGGGACCUAACAGAAAGGUAGGAUGUAGGCCCUGCCCAGCACAUCUUCCUGCCCAGGGCACAAAGCCAGAUGGAUGCAGCCCACUCUGCUGGGAUCUGAGAAUACAGCCAAAGGAGGUGGGAGAAGGCAGGGCUUUGGGUGUCCUCAAAGGAUGUCUAGGAUUCUGGAAAGUCUUCAUCAACAAACUAUCUCAGAACAGGGCAGGUAUCUUGCUUAUUAAGGUGCCCAGUUUGGCUGAUUUAUAAAUUCUCCAAUUUGCAAGAGUGGGCAGGAGGUGAAGUGACCAGCAUUUAGUGGUUAGAGCAUGCCACUCCUUCAAGGGUAAAAGCAAAGUUCUUGCAGUGACCCCUGAGGACGUGCAAGAUCUUCCCUCUGCCCCUGUACCUCUGACCUGCACUCCACCCACCCUGCCCUUCAUCUGCUCUAGUCAGGGCCUCUGGCUUCUCCUCUGUCACUCCAGGGGUGAGUCAGUCUCAGGGCCUUUGUAUGAAGUGUUCCUCUGCAUGAAGUGCUCCUCCCCAAUGUAUCUGCAUGGCCAUCUCCCUCUUGCAGUCUUUGCUCCAAUCACUCUCCCAGGAGAGGCUUAAAAUAGCAGACUCCUACCCAGCCCACUCCCCACCUUCCUCACACUGCCUUCCUGUGUUGUGUAGGCACUUCUAACACACUUUGUAACCAUUGAACAAUAGCAUGUGCUAUGUUAAGUAGCUCUGGUGAUAUUGAGCCCUAAUCCCCAAUGUGCAGCUGCCGCGUCCGGCUAACAGAGCCGAGUCCGGCGAGGGACGGCGGGGUUAAAAAUACACAGGACACCAAGGUUCUUCAUCCAGGAGGGAGCAUGUGCGCGCUUUAUUGCCAAAUUUGUUCCCCUUAUAUAUCUUUUUAACAGCUGCGGGAAAUUACUCAAAAGUGAGGAGGGAAGAGUAAUAACUGCGUCCUUGGGUUACCUUCACGUCGUCCCCUAUCAGGAGGCUCGAACAGGUCAAGAUGUUCCCGAGAGACACAUGUGCUCCAGGCAGAUAAACAGGGAACCACAUUGACAUGCAUAACAAAGAACUGGGGGUUGAGUCCCCAGGGGCCAGGGCGGGCCUGCUACCAGCAUGCAGCCUCCAAGGUGAUUAGGCUUAGAUGAGAUCAUGGGUGUGCCCCAUGAUGGGAUUAGUGCCCUUGCAAGGAGAGGAAGGAACCAGAGCACCCUGUUGCCACCAUGUGAGGACACAGCAUGGAGGCAGCCAUCCCCAGAUCAGAAGAGCCCUCGCCAGGGACCCAGCCAUGCUGGCCAGCUUAUGUCAGACUCUCAACCUCCAAAACUAUGAGGGAAAAAAUGAGUUGAUACGCCACUGGUCUGCGGUGUUCUAACAGCCUGAACAGACUAGGACACUUUCAAUGGCCAAUUUUACAUGCCACCUUGGCUGGACAAAGGAAUCCCCAGAAAUCUGGCAAGGCAUUACUUUGGGUGUGGAUGCUGGGGUGUUUCCAGAGUUUAGCAUGUGGACCAGGUGGGGAAGAUCCACCCUCUGUAUGGGUGAGCACCACCCAAUCAGCCGAGGGCCCUCAAGGAGAACAAACACAGAAGGCGAAAUGGAGUCCCCUCACCCCACAGAGCUGGGACAUGCCCACCUCCUGCUUGGGCACCAGAAUUCCAGGUUUGCCCUUCUCCAGGUUCCCAGGUCUUCGUCCUUUAACUGGAAAUUACACCAUCAGCUUCCCUGGUUUGGAGGCCUUAGGACGAGGAUGGAGGGGCCAUCCCAGAGUCGCCAGCCUGUACUCAGCCUGCUGUGAGGCUCUCACUGCUGCCAUACUCAUGCAAGCCAGUACAUUCACUCUGUGCAUCCUGUCUCCAGCCGGGUAGCCUGUUGGUUCUGUCUCUGGGGAGAACCCUGGCUAACGCCCUGUAUCACUUAUUUCUUACAUCUGUUGCCUAACACACACACAUCCAACUCUAGAAUCCAUGAUCCAUCAGAGCAGGAAUUUUGCUCUAUUUCUUUUACAGAUAGAUGUGCAUCGCGCACCUGAGAUGGUGAAUGGUGGGUGAAUGUUUCUAGAGCAUGCUGCUUCACUAUCUACUGCUGGCCUAGAAAUCAUUUCAAACGUAGUGGCUUAAAACAGCGCCCAUCAUGUUCUCCAUUUCUGUGAGUCGGGAGUCUGGGCAUGGCACAGUGUGUCCUCUGCUUCCUUGCCUCUCUCUGCAGUGGGAGUAUCAGCCAGGGCAGGGUCUCAUCUGAAGGUCCCUUGGGGAAGGGUCUGGAUGUUGGCAGGCUGAAGCUCUUCUGUGGGGAUGGAUGGACUGAAGGCCUCAGCUCCUUGCUGAGUGUUGGCUAGAGUUCCCCUGAUUUCUGGCCAUGUGGAUCUUGCCAUAGGCAGCUCACCCAUGGCAGCUGGGGUGUCAAAACUUCUGCUUGGAAGACAGAACUUACAAUCUUAUGUAAUCAUGAAAAUGGUGACAUCCCAUCCCCUUGGCAGAACAGAAGCAAGUUGAAGUCCUGCCCACACUCAAGGGGAGAGGGGAUCUUUGGAGACGACCUCAGGCCUGCCCACAGGAGGCAGGAAUAGUGUUAUCCUUGGAGUCCUGGAUGUUCAGUGGCUUUGCCACUUGCCUUGUGGUUUAAACGGGGUGAACCACUUCUGGGAACCAGUUCCCUCUAUCUUCCAGCAGGACAACAGUGGAUCUCUCGUGGAGUGCAGAAGAGGAAACCAGCACCUCCUGCAUCGUAAGGCCUCUGAGCCAAGAAGAAUGAAUUGCAGUGAGGCUCUGAGGACCCUCAGUUCUCCAUUCCCAAGCCUCACAUUUUCUCAAGAAAGCAAUUCCAACAAUGAAGUCCUAAAGAGAUCAGGGUAGGGCUGCUGUCCCCACCACCCGCUUCCCCCACAAAGAUCCCAGCAUAAUGCAGCAGAGAAAUGCCAGCCACAGCCCAAUUUGAGGCUUUCCAAUGUUAAAAAAAAUAAUAAUUUUGACCAAAAAAAGGAGAAGAACCAUAUUGUCAUAUAGCUAUGCCCUGGCAUGUGGCAAAUAUGCUUUUGAAUUUGUUAAUUGAAUAGGGAACUGGUAAGAUGUUAGAACCAGUUCAAGGGAGAAUGUGAAGAACAUACACAUUUAAUGUUUAGGUAUAUUUAAAUGAGCUUUAAAUUGUGCAAAAUUGUGCUUUUGAGUGGAACAGUUUGGGGGACUCAAGGUUGUCCCUCCACUACACAGAAUGCAUUAGCUUGUACACAGACAAAAAUCAUUUCCAGUGGUGUGCAGUGGUGCACACUUGUAAUCCCAGCAGUUCAGGAGGCUGAGGAGGGAGGAUUGUGAGUUCAAAGCCAGCCCAAGCAACAUAGCAAGGCCCUAAGCAAAUCAGCAAGACCCUGUCUCUGAAAUAUAAAAAGGGAUGGGGAUAUGGCUCAGAGUUUAACCCCUGGGUUCAAUCUCUAGUACCAAAGGAAAAAAAAAAGUCAUUUCUAUUAUCAUUUCUCAUCUAAAACUCAAACUUGAAAAUCGUCCAAAGGCAAUAAAAAACUAGCCUGGGGUAACCCAGAAGGGAGAGCUAGACAGAAUGUGUAGUUUCCCAGUGGGGUUAGUUAUUUUUUUACUUUUGCUGAUUCCAAGUCUCUUUACACCAGGAGUGUCCAUUUCAUAGGGCUGCUGUCACCAAGUACUGCAAACUGAGUGGCUUAAAUAACAGACAUGUUUUCUCUUACAGUGCAAGAGGCCAGAAGUCCAGUCUCAAGAUGUGCCACAUUCCCUAGAGACUGUGAGGCAGAAUUUGGCAUUACCUAGCUUCUGGUAGCUUGUUGACCAUCUCUGAUGUCCCUUUGUUUGUAGAAGUAUCACCACAAUCUUACCCUGUGCAGUCACACAGUCCUCUCCCUGCACCUGUGUCUGUGUGUCCCAUAAAUAUGUAUCAAUUUUUGUCAUGUUGGAUUAGAGCCCAACCUAAAACCUCAUUUUAACUUGGUAAAUUUAAAAAUCUACAAGUGAGGACACAUUCUCAGGUACCACGGAUUAGGACAUCAACCUAUGAAUUUGGGGGGGACAUAAUUUGUGAAAUUGUGAUUCAUAGUAAAAAAUAUACACUUUGAUCUUUGUCUUUGGUGACUGGCACCGAACUCCUUAAAAUCCUUGCUAUUUCCUGAGCAAUAGGGGUGCUGGUAACAUCUUUUGUCUUAAUAUUUGUCCUUUGACCCUUGUUCAGUCCAGAGUGCCUAAUCCCUGGGAGUUUCCAGAGUGACAGGAUCAUCUUUUGUCCCAGUGAGGUGGUUCCUGGUGGGCUCCUGGAUGGGGGCUGGCCACAACCCAAGUUGUACCCUUCAUAAAAGUGGGUAAACAUGAGGACAGUGUUUCUGUGAGUCUUUCAGAGUUCUGUGAGUCUUGCUAACAAACGGUCAAACCUGGUCUGGGGCAG